rnacentral:rRNA from 1 species
UGCAGUCGAGCGGUAACAGGGGGCAGCUUGCUCCCCGCUGACGAGCGGCGGACGGGUGAGUAAUGCAUAGGAAACUGCCCAGUAGUGGGGGAUAGCCCGGGGAAACCCGGAUUAAUACCGCAUACGCCCUUCGGGGGAAAGCAGGGGAUCUUCGGACCUUGCGCUAUUGGAUGUGCCUAUGUCGGAUUAGCUAGUUGGUGGGGUAAGAGCCUACCAGGGCGACAAUCCGUAGCUGGGUCUGAGAGGAUGAUCACCCACAUCGGGACUGAGACCCGGCCCGAACUCCCUACGGGGAGGCAGCGGUGGGGGAAUAUUGGACAAUGGGGGGCAACCCUGAUCCAGCCAUGCCGCGUUGUGUGAAGAAGGCUUUCGGGGUUGUAAAGCACUUUCAGUGGAGGGAGGAAAAACCCUUAAGUUUAAUACGCCUUGAGGGUGUGACGUUACUCACAGAAGGAAGCAACCGGGCUAACUCCGGUGCCAGCCAGGCCGCGGUAAUACGGAAGGGUGGCAAGCCGUUAAUCGGAAUUACUGGGGCGUAAAGC